AGAGUUUGAUCCUGGCUCAGAAUCAACGCUGGCGGCGCGCUUAACACAUGCAAGUCGAACGAGAAAGUGGAGCAAUCCAUGAGUAAAGUGGCGUACGGGUGAGUAACACGUGGGUAAUCUACCUUUUAGUGAGGAAUAACGAUGGGAAACCGUCGCUAAUACCGCAUGAGCCCGAGAGGGGAAAGUCGAAAGACGCUGAAAGAGGAGCCCGCGGCCGAUUAGCUAGUUGGUGAGGUAAGAGCCCACCAAGGCAAAGAUCGGUAGCCGGCCUGAGAGGGCACACGGCCACACUGGCACUGAAACACGGGCCAGACUCCUACGGGAGGCAGCAGUGGGGAAUCUUGCACAAUGGGGGAAACCCUGAUGCAGCGACGCCGCGUGAGCGAUGAAGCCCUUCGGGGUGUAAAGCUCUUUCGGCAGGGAAGAUUAUGACGGUACCUGCAGAAGCAGCUGCGGCUAACUACGUGCCAGCAGCCGCGGUAAUACGUAGGCAGCGAGCGUUGUUCGGAGUUACUGGGCGUAAAGGGUGUGUAGGCGGUUCUUUAAGUUUGGUGUGAAAUCUCCCGGCUCAACCGGGAGGGUGCGCCGAAUACUGAGGGACUAGAGUGUGGGAGAGGAAAGUGGAAUUCCUGGUGUAGCGGUGAAAUGCGUAGAUAUCAGGAGGAACACCGGUGGUGUAGACGGCUUUCUGGACCGUAACUGACGCUGAGACACGAAAGCGUGGGUAGCAAACAGGAUUAGAUACCCCCGUAGUCC
rnacentral:rRNA from 1 species